rnacentral:tRNA from 2 species
GGCGAUUAGAUGGCAUACAUCCCAUCGAAGGCUUCAUAAUCCUUAGGUCGGUGGUUCAAGUCCACCCGUCGCCA